GGCUCUUUUAUAACUUGACAGGCAUCUCCCUUGCAAUCCCCACCACAGACUCUUCAAUUCUAGUUUCUUCUCUUUUUAUUAUUUGUUUCUUCUAUGACAGCAGGGACCUCGUCUGUCUUCGCCUCCAUUCCAUCCCUAUAUUCUACACCAUGCCGAGAAUAGGAGGUGCCAAGUACAGGCUGGCGGAAUGAAUGAAUGAUUGAGUGGAUGGCACCACGUGAAUCAAGGCAGCAGAAGAAGGCAUCCCUGAAGGGCUUGACCAUUCCUGCUCUCUGUGGUGCAUCCUACAGGGCUCUUGUCCAUUUCAGUCGGUGACCCCAUGCCACUGGAGCACCUUGCUUUCUCACAGCACUGACCUGCCCAGCGCCUUGCCCUUGCUUGUCCCAGGAAAGCAAGUGAGGCUCCAGAAACAUGAGCAGACGGGAUGAAUGUAAUUCAGCUCCCAAAAUUUGCUGUUCUGAGAUCAGAAACGGAAGUUUCAAAAUACCGAAAGUUCGUUUAUGUUGAACAUAGUGCUUAGGCUAAAAGCAGGAAGUCCAAGAAAGCCUGAUCUCAUGAGAUUUUUUCAGCCCAAUUUGGAUCCACAUCUGCACUUCUGGAUUUUCCACUGAGUCUAACCUCAGCUGCUCUGCUGGUCUCACCGAGUCUGCACCUCCAGCAUGGGGCACAGAUAAAUAACAGUCGACUGCUAUUCACUAAGAUUUACCCAAGGAUUGGCCACUUGAAAAGUAGUGAGCUUGGACAGGCAGUAGAAAAGAACAAUUGAAAUUUGAAAAAUAGGCGUUUCUUUUCAUAAAGUUAAAAAAACCCAAACCAAAACAAACAAAACUCUAAACAAUAACUCAUCCAAAUAAUGGUCUUGCUGUUGUCUCCAGGUGCAGGAAACAAGUGAAAAAGAAUCUUACCACCUACUCCUUCCCACCCCAGUCCUGGUUUCUCCAUUGGUCAGUAUCCGGCCAGCAGAGGGGAGGGGAAGGCAGUGGCACUCAGUGGUGUGCCUUGGGCUGCCAGCUUUGGGGGAGCCUCUGAAUGUUGGGGAGACUCAUUCCCGUAUCCCCACUCCUAUAGCUUGAGGCACUUUGGAAAGCAAGUUUCUCAUGUUGCAGAUGAGGAAACUAAGGUUAGGAGAAGUGGAAGGAUUUGCUCAGACCACACACAUCUAAUGAUGGCAGGAGCUGGGAUUAGAACCCAAAUCCACAAAGAUGUGGCCUCUUUUUUGAAUCAUAAUAGCUGCCCUGCUUACUUCUCAGCAUUUGAAUGGAGUAACGGACAUGAUAGGGUUUGCAAAUGACAAACAUAAAGUGUUAGUUGCUGUAUCUUGGCAUAUUCCAGGUAGUGGCUCAGUUAGUGUUGCUGGUGCUAUAUUUAAUUUGGGUCCCAUUCCAAGUGUAGAGUUUUCUGGGGAUGCCAUUAUCUAUGAGGCUUCUCUGCCAGGAGGGCUCAGAGGCUCCCAGGGAACACUCCCUAUACAUGUACCAUCCCCAGCAACACCUUAGAGAUCCUUAUGGGAACAUCUGGAGGAAUUCUGGAUCACAAAGAUCUACAGUGCAUUGUGGUGUGAGCUCCUCUAUUCAGGGACUAGAACUCAUUCUUUUGAAGCACAAUUUCAAAUCAGCCACACCCAACUGCAACAGUCCAGGAGAGGUAGUAGACCACAUCUUAGAGCCACCCCUUUUCCAUUUCAGGCACCCAGGCAUGCAGGAGUUACUCUCUUGCUUUGUAAACCUGUUCAAACUAGGUGCAAAGUGGAUGUAGCAUGACACAUUCAGCAGAUGUGUGGCCUUGAGUGAAUGAUUUAACUUCUCUGAGCCUCAGUUUCCUCCUCAGAAUGUGGUAAUUGCAAUAUAUACUCGUGGGUUGGCAAGGGAAGUAAAGGAGAUGUUUAUAAACCGCCUGUCAUGCACACAAAGAAAGACACUUCCUGCCUGCCCUGCAGUCCCAAACUGCCCUUGCGGGUAGACCGUCAGCAUGUACAUGCCUUAGGAACAGCAUCCCUGGGCUCCAGAAGGACCUCCAGAAUCUGGAAGAGCAAGUCCUUAAAUCUUGCCAUAUACUAUUUCGUUUUCAAGGAAUUUCUUACAGGUAGCAAUUAUGAAAUAAAUGUCACACAAUAGCAAAACC